rnacentral:rRNA from 1 species
CCUACGGGGGGCUGCAGUGGGGAAUCUUGGACAAUGGGGGCAACCCUGAUCCAGCGACGCCGCGUGGGUGACGAAGGCCUUCGGGUUGUAAAGCCCUUUUGCCGGGGACGAUGAUGACGGUACCCGGAGAAUAAGCACCGGCUAACUCCGUGCCAGCAGCCGCGGUAAGACGGAGGGUGCUAGCGUUGUUCGGAAUUACUGGGCGUAAAGGGCGCGUAGGCGGCCACGUAAGUCGGGUGUGAAAGCCCGGGGCUCAACCCCGGAACGGCACCCGAGACUGUGUGGCUGGAGACCGGAAGAGGUGAGUGGAAUACCCAGUGUAGAGGUGAAAUUCGUAGAUAUUGGGUGGAACACCGGUGGCGAAAGCGGCUCACUGGUCCGGUUCUGACGCUGAGGCGCGAAAGCGUGGGGAGCAAACAGGAUUAGAUACCCCUGUAGUC